rnacentral:rRNA from 1 species
CCCUUAGAUGCUCUGGGCCGCACGCGCGCUACACUGGUCGAUGCAACGAGUUUCUUUCCUUGGCCGACAGGCCUGGGCAAUCUUUGAACAUCGAUCGUGAUCGGGAUAGAUUCUUGUAAUUUUUGAUCUUAAACGAGGAAUUCCUAGUAAACGCAAGUCAUCAGCUUGCAUUGAUUACGUCCCUGCCCUUUGUACACACCGCCCGUCGCACCUACCGAUUGAAUGGUCCGGUGAAAUCUCCGGACUGGCGUGAGUCGGAACAAUCUGACAAACGCCGGAAAGUUGAUUAAACCUUACCAUUUAGAGGAAGGUGAAGUCGUAACA